GCCUGGGUGGCUCAGCCGGUUGAGCGUGGGACUUCAGCUCAGGUCAUUGAUCUCACGGUUUGUGGGUUCGAGCCCCGCACCGGGUU
rnacentral:tRNA from 1 species